GGUCAGUGACUAGUGUUGGCAUGUAUUAUCUGCUCUGAGUUGGUAUUUAUUACCAGUUUAGCUCUAGAAUUACUCUGAUACUGU
rnacentral:snoRNA from 1 species